rnacentral:rRNA from 1 species
UACAGAGGUGGCAAGCGUUGUUCGGAAUUACUGGGCGUAAAGGGCGCGUAGGCGGCCAUCUAAGUCAGACGUGAAAUCCCCCCGGCUUAACCUGGGAACUGCGUCUGAUACUGGAAGGCUCGAGUUUGGGAGAGGGAUGCAGAAUUCCAGGUGUAGCGGUGAAAUGCGUAGAUAUCAGGAGGAACACCGGUGGCGAAGGCGGGUCUCUGGGCCGUAACUGACGCUGAGGAGCGAAAGCGUGGGGAGCGAACAGG